UAGGGAAUCUUCGGCAAUGGGGGGAACCCUGACCGAGCAACGCCGCGUGAGUGAAGAAGGUUUUCGGAUCGUAAAGCUCUGUUGUUAAGGAAGAACGAGUGUGAGAAUGGAAAGUUCAUGCUGUGACGGUACUUAACCAGAAAGGGACGGCUAACUACGUGCCAGCAGCCGCGGUAAUACGUAGGGGGCUAGCGUUGUCCGGAAUCACUGGGCGUAAAGGGUUCGCAGGCGGAAUAACAAGUCAGAUGUGAAAGGCAUGGGCUCAACCCAUGUAAGCAUUUGAGACUGUAAUUCUUGAGAAGUGGAGAGGUAAGUGGAAUUCCUAGUGUAGCGGUGAAAUGCGUCGAUAUUAGGAGGACUCCCUGUGGCGAAGGCGACUUACUGGACACAAAUCUGACGCUGAGGAACGAAAGCGUGGGUAGCAAACAGG
rnacentral:rRNA from 1 species